rnacentral:rRNA from 1 species
UACGUAGGGUGCGAGCGUUGUCCGGAAUUAUUGGGCGUAAAGGGCUCGUAGGCGGUUUGUCGCGUCUGCUGUGAAAACGCGAGGCUUAACCUCGCGCCUGCAGUGGGUACGGGCAGACUAGGGUGCGGUAGGGGAGACUGGAAUUCCUGGUGUAGCGGUGAAAUGCGCAGAUAUCAGGAAGAACACCCGUGGCGAAGGCGGUUCUCUGGGACGGUACUGACGCUGAGACGCGAAAGCGUGGGGAGCGAACAGG